UACGUAGGGGGCUAGCGUUGUCCGGAUUUAUUGGGCGUAAAGAGCGUGUAGGCGGCCGGGUAAGUCCGGUGUGAAAACUCGAGGCUUAACCUCGAGACGUCGGUGGAAACCAUCCAGCUAGAGUCCGGAAGAGGAGAGUGGAAUUCCUGGUGUAGCGGUGAAAUGCGCAGAUAUCAGGAAGAACACCGAUGGCGAAGGCAGGUCUCUGGGCCACUACUGACGCUGAGAAGCGAAAGCAUGGGGAGCGAACAGG
rnacentral:rRNA from 1 species